UGGGGAAUUUUGGACAAUGGGCGCAAGCCUGAUCCAGCCAUGCCGCGUGCGGGAAGAAGGCCUUCGGGUUGUAAACCGCUUUUGUCAGGGAAGAAAUCUUCUGAGUUAAUACCUCGGGAGGAUGACGGUACCUGAAGAAUAAGCACCGGCUAACUACGUGCCAGCAGCCGUGGUAAAUACGUAGGGUGCAAGCGUUAAUCGGAAUUACUGGGCGUAAAGCGUGCGCAGGCGGUUUUGUAAGACAGAGGUGAAAUCCCCGGGCUCAACCUGGGAACUGCCUUUGUGACUGCAAGGCUUGAGUGCGGCAGAGGGGGGAUGGAAUUCCGCGUGUAGCAGUGAAAAUGCGUAGAUAUGCGGAGGAACACCGAUGGGAAGGCAAAUCCCCCUGGGCCUGCACUGACGCUCAUGCACGAAAAGCGUGGGGAGCAAAACAGGAUUAGAUAGCCCCUGGU
rnacentral:rRNA from 1 species